UACGGAGGAUGCGAGCGUUAUCCGGAUUUAUUGGGUUUAAAGGGUGCGCAGGCGGCGUGUCAAGUCAGCGGUAAAAUGUCGGGGCUCAACCCCGGCCGGCCGUUGAAACUGGCGUGCUCGAGUUGGAGAGAAGUAUGCGGAAUUCCUAGUGUAGUGGUGAAAUGCGUAGAUAUUAGGAGGAACACCAGUUGCGAAGGCGGCUCUCUGGACUGUAACUGACACUGAGGCACGAAAGCGUGGGGAGCAAACAGG
rnacentral:rRNA from 1 species